UUCACACACGGUCGUUGUCAAUAUGACACCGGUCGUGUAUGAAUUAUGCACCACCACCUGCAUAAUGAUGCACCACCGUUGUUACUUUGUACACCGACGUGCAUGAAUCGUACACGAUCGUUGCCAUUUUAGCAACUACCGUGUAUGAAUCAUGCACCACCGUUGUCAUUUUUUUUACUCGUGUGCAAUCGGCUGCAUAUUUACCAUUUUUUCCGUGUUAUUGAAAGAGAAAGGACGCAUUGUGCAAAAAAUUUAUUGAAAAUGAAUAAUAAUUCGCAAGAUCCUCAAAAUAUCAUUGGUGAGUUGUUAGAAAUCGAUGGCAAUAUUGUUGUGGUUCGCGAUACAAACCAUUGCAGCAGUCAAGAUGCGGAAAACAAUGAGGACGAUUAUAUGUUAAGGGAGUUCUUAAAAGGAAUAAAUAUGGAGUCGCUUUUUGAACAAUUAAAAGGUAAGUAAAUAAAAAUGAAUUUUUCAGUUAAUCAGUGUAAUUAACAAAGAAUUUUCUUUUUUGUUCUUUUAGCAUCACAUGUAACAUUUCGCAGCUUGCAGUACUUGAAAAAAGAAGAUUUAAAGGAAGCAGUGCCACCAUUGGGACUGCGUGUUGAAUUCAGAGAAAAGCUCUUUGCUUGGAAAAAACGAAAGCUCGGGAUUGAUGACGAAACUAUGUCAGUUCCAUCUAAAAUAGGUGAAUGGUGGAAACGCAACGAGACACCUGCAAGUACUCCUGGUACUCCCGACACUACAGGUUCGAACUGCUCAAAAGCCAAAGGAAUUUUGUCAGAGGAUCUAACGGAAUUGUUAACACAUACCUCGAAGGGGAAACUAGCGCUUGAAUGUAGUAGCGUUAAUAAGAAAUUAAGUGACGAGCAAAGAGAUGAUAUAAUUAAUAUAAUUAUUGAAGAUAUUUUAACCAACAAUGUUACUCUUUACACUCAAGACUAUAUGCGCAUAUUGGAUGAAAUUUGUUCCGUUUUUCCUCUUGAAAACGAAAUGAGGGUAAGAUUAACAAUAUAAACAACGUAUCUGAUUAUGUAGUUUCUUAACUUAUAAUAUGUCUUUAUUUUUAGGAUUAUUAUUACAUUUCAAGAAAAGGAAAGAACAACGCAAGCGGAAAACUUUAUGCCAAGUAUAGAAACAAGAAGUCCAAAAGAAUAAAGCUUUUGAUUUCCGAGCCUAGCACAAGCAAAGCAGCAACUCACACAUCUCCUAAUUUUUGUAACAAAGAUGUUCCCGAAAUUGAUGAAUCAGUUGAAAAUUCAUUGAAAGCUUCCUUACUAAGAGAAUGUAAUGAUUGGGGAUCGAUCUGCGAAAAAUGGAAAAGAUCUUUUAACAUACGGCAAAGAGAUAUAAAAAAUUUAAGUAGCCAUACAUUUCUCCUUGAAUGGACGAAGUUGUCCGAUGCAAGAGCUUCAGAAUUGGUAAGUAGCCAUGAGCUAUUUAUUUGUAUAUGGAUACUAAUGUUUCGUUUUAGGUCAACAUUGAUUUCGAUAUUAUGUAUCCACAGAAAGGCAAUCUUCUACUUUCUAAAUGGGACCAAUUUAAGAAAAAAAUUUACAAUUAUUAUGGGAAAAAUAUUCAUAACGAACAUUGCAAACAACUCUUCGCAAAUGUUUUGACGGCAAGCAGCAUAGAUGCUCAAGAUUAUAUAUACGCAAUACUGUUGAAUUCAGUUUUACCAUCACCUGCUAGGUUUAAAUGUGGAAACGGUAAAUUACGAAAAAAAGUAACAAUAGCUGAUUCGCAGGAAAGUUUCGUACUGCGACUACCGACAAUUAACGAUUAUAAAAGGCAAAUUGAUACAGUCACUGAAAAGUAUUACAAUGCUGGAUUAACUAUACAGCCAUUUAUAAUUGUGGAGGGUUUGUCCGAUUUCAAUAUAAAAGGUUUUUAUGUUUUUUUUAACCACAAUUUGUUAAAAUUUCAAUCGUUCCUCGAAUGUUUAGAUACAUGUUUUAAAAUUUUUCAUGCACUUUCUUUAAAAUAUCCAAAUG